rnacentral:rRNA from 1 species
AAUGAACGCUGGCGGCAGGCCUAACACAUGCAAGUCGAACGGAUCCUUCGGGAUUAGUGGCGGACGGGUGAGUAACACGUGGGAACGUGCCCUUUGGUUCGGAACAACUCAGGGAAACUUGAGCUAAUACCGGAUGUGCCCUUCGGGGGAAAGAUUUAUCGCCAUUGGAGCGGCCCGCGUCUGAUUAGCUAGUUGGUGAGGUAAAGGCUCACCAAGGUGACGAUCAGUAGCUGGUCUGAGAGGAUGAUCAGCCACAUUGGGACUGAGACACGGCCCAAACUCCUACGGGAGGAAGCAGUGGGGAAUCUUGCGCAAUGGGCGAAAGCCUGACGCAGCCAUGCCGCGUGAAUGAUGAAGGUCUUAGGAUUGUAAAAUUCUUUCACCGGGGACGAUAAUGACGGUACCCGGAGAAGAAGCCCCGGCUAACUUCGUGCCAGCCGCCGCCGUAAAAC